GGCUGGUGAGCACACAUCAGCCAGCAUACAGGACAGACAUACUCAGACCUGAAGAUGUGUUCUCCAGCAUGCCUGGUCUCCUUCCAUAGGCUAAGACUCAAGGCCUCUUGUCUUUAGUCAUGAUUGUCCUCAUGUUUCUGUUGUUUACAGAUGUUUUGUUGUUUGUUUGGUUUGAUCACCAUCAUCACUUCCAUUUAUAGGUAAAUCCUUUAAGGGACGCCAUGUAGAUAGAAAUUGCCAGUUCAUUUCACUUCGACACUGAGGAAGUGGUAACCUGACCUCUAUGGAACCCAUCAAGGUUCUCUGAUGGUGUUUAAUCCAGUGCCCUGUGUGAUUAAUGUAAAAGUCAUUCACCUUUUCUUUUUUAAUCUACAUAUUUAUGUUUU
rnacentral:lncRNA from 1 species